GGGGAUGAUUUGGCUUUGACAGCGUGUAGAGGUGGUAGGCAAGCAUGCAGAGCGAUAAUGGCUAUGCUCUCAAAACUCAGUCAUUGCUAAAUUUAACUGGCGAAAACAACUACGCUCUCGCUGCCUGAUCGAAGUACAGUAGAUCGGCUUUAUUCUUGCCCAAGGCGGCAGGAACGAGACAUCACCCGGUAGCCCUUUCUGCGAGGCUCAUCGAUCAGGUGGUGCUGGCAAAUCGGAGAUAGCGCGUGGCACGCCCCGGGUAUCGCGCGAAAUUUAGGGGAUAAGUCGUCGAUUGGUGGUCUUGAUCCUGUCGACGGUCGAAAACCAAGUCAAGACUAAGCAUGUAGAAAACCUGUCAGUUCCACGUUUGGACGAGGGUUCAAACCCCUCCAUCUCCACA
rnacentral:tmRNA from 1 species